ACUGGCAGCUAUUCUAGCUCUCUGCUACUCUCACAUGGUUGCCCACUGAAGCUAAGCAGGGCUGUGCCCAGUCAGUACUUGGAUGGGAGACCACAUGGGAAAGCUAGGUUACUGCUAGAA
rfam:Danio rerio chromosome 13, GRCz11 reference primary assembly.